GUUUGAGUUUGAUUGUUAAGUGGUAUACUCAUUGUUGUGAAGGAUUAACACGAAAUCAGCUUGGGGGUAAUGAAUCCAACUUCUGGUGAAUGAUGUAGUGACUUGCAGGCCUUUUUUCGGCCAACUCCUGCCAUGGCCAAGAGCACCAGUGGACUUAGAAUCGAGCCGUACAAUCCUGGUGUCAAGGCACUCCCUUGUUGGUAUCUUCGAGGUGUCGACCAGCACGUGCCUUCCCUGGUGUUUGGAGGAUAUCGGGGUCGAAGGUGUCAAUUGAGAUAGGUAUCCCACAAAGAAUGAAUAAGGUACACGAUCUUUCAUUCAUCUUAUCAUUUUUAAUUAAAUUUGUUGUCGAGACUAUUUCCUGUUAUAUUGUUUUAUUUUAGGAUUGUAAUCAGGUAAUAAUUAAUUUGAGUUUUCUUAGGAUAUCUCUAAUGGAGAGGAAGAAAAGUCUAAAAGGAAAAAAUUACCUGAUUUGUUUAAAAAUUCAUCUCCAACCGAUAACUGGGUUAUAAUUUUAUGGAGCACACCAGACCAUUAUUUGGCCAAAAGGGCAACACAUGGCCAAAUGUAACCCCCCCCCCCCAAUCUUAGCUUUUUUUUAGGGGCCUAGCUCCUCAUUUGUAAUAAUUUAUUCAAAUUUGACGGCUAGAUUUGAAAACAUCCAACAAUAAUGUAAUUAAAUUAACCAAUAAUUUAAAGUAUAAACUUAAAAUUAAUAAAAUAUUGAGGGGGCUAUUUAGCCUAUCCGGUGGAGAUUGUAUAUGAGUAUGGUUUGAUAUUGUUCAUUUAAAAAUAAUUUUUUGCAAGGCUAUAAUUUUGGAUGGGGUUAUGUUUAGCCUUUUCGAUUGGAGAUGACCUUAGUUUGAGGUCAUAGAGGGACCGGGUGGGGGGGGGGGUGUUCCAUGGUGGCCCUGGCUCCUUCUAAUUGGUUUGGGUGGGAAAAAGGUACGUUGGAUUUGUAGCUACAAUCUCAUUCCUGAUGUGUAGUCUGGCUUGCCUAGUCUCUUAUGGUAUAUGUGUUAGAAACCAAUCAAAUGUCACUUAUACAAUAUAUAUAAUUUGCAUAGUUUAUUUUGAAUAAGAAAUUCAACAACAGAUACAAUAAAUAUCAAAAUAUAAACACUUAAGUAAAUUGCAUAUGAAAUCACAAAUCACUGACUUGUUCUUUGAAGAUAGAGGCUUGCAAAUGCAAUCACCUAAGACAGAAAUUUGCCCCUACACCCAUGCAGUAGUUCAAUGGACGUCUAUCUUGCAGGAUACAACUAUCUAAUCCAAGUUCUUGCACUCGAACUUGGAUUCUUGGCUAAUUGGUUGUGCACUUCUCUGUGUAAGAUGGAAAAGGAAGCGGUGGAAAUUUUAUAUUUUAGUUUCUGAUCUUAUUGCCAUAUAUAUAAUGGCGUAACUUGAACAAAUGUAACCGUUCAUUCUUAACAGUUUUAAAACGGACAUACAUGUUCAAU